rnacentral:lncRNA from 1 species
GAACAUUUUCCCAGUACAACUGGGUAAAAGUUGUUGCUGCUUUUUCACAGAGCAACAUUUGGAGGAAACAAACUGUGACGCUCAGCAAAACACUCCCGAUUCCCCAGAAUGUAAGGACUUCAUUCUUAACAUUGAGCUGGAAAAAGCUGAAAAUGGAAGCCUAGGAUUUGCACUGGUAGGUGGAAGGAACGGCAGGGCUAUCCUAAUAAAAGCCAUCAGCCCCGACAGCAUCGCAGAUCUAGAUGGGAGGCUCCAAGUUGGGGACAUACUACUUAAGGUGAAUGAGACUUUUGUGUCUGGUCUACCACGCCAAACGGUCAUAGAUUUGCUGCGCAAGGCCCGGGGCACUGUUCAACUCACCGUCUGCCGAAGCCUGGCUUUGCAUUGGGCUUAUUCAGGCAACCAGAGCAACAGCACCUC